AUGAACGCUGGCGGCGCGCCUAAUACAUGCAAGUCGAGCGAACGGACGAGAAGCUUGCUUCUCUGAUGUUAGCGGCGGACGGGUGAGUAACACGUGGAUAACCUACCUAUAAGACUGGGAUAACUUCGGGAAACCGGAGCUAAUACCGGAUGAUAUUUUGAACCGCAUGGUUCAAAAGUGAAAGACGGUCUUGCUGUCACUUAUAGAUGGAUCCGCGCUGCAUUAGCUAGUUGGUAAGGUAACGGCUUACCAAGGCAACGAUGCAUAGCCGACCUGAGAGGGUGAUCGGCCACACUGGAACUGAGACACGGUCCAGACUCCUACGGGAGGCAGCAGUAGGGAAUCUUCCGCAAUGGGCGAAAGCCUGACGGAGCAACGCCGCGUGAGUGAUGAAGGUCUUCGGAUCGUAAAACUCUGUUAUUAGGGAAGAACAUAUGUGUAAGUAACUGUGCACAUCUUGACGGUACCUAAUCAGAAAGCCACGGCUAACUACGUG
rnacentral:rRNA from 1 species